GACGAACGCUGGCGGCGUGCCUAACACAUGCAAGUCGAACGGGGUAAUUUCCUUCGGGAGAUUACUUAGUGGCGAACGGGUGAGUAACGCGUGAGGAACCUGCCUUUCAGUGGGGGACAACAGUUGGAAACGACUGCUAAUACCGCAUAACAUAUUCGAGCGGCAUCGCUCGGAUAUCAAAGCUUUAUGUGCUGAAAGAUGGCCUCGCGUCUGAUUAGAUAGUUGGUGAGGUAACGGCUCACCAGGUCGACGAUCAGUAGCCGGUCGGAAAGGAUGAACGGCAACAUUGGGACUGAGAUACGGCCCAGACUCCUACGGGAGGCAGCAGUGGGGAAUAUUGGGCAAUGGGGGAAACCCUGAUCCAGCAACGCCGCGUGAAGGAAGAAGGCCUUCGGGUUGUAAACUUCUUUUAGCAGGGACGAAGGACGUGACGGUACCUGCAGAAAAAGCAACGGCUAACUACGUGCCAGCCGCCGCAGUAAUAC
rnacentral:rRNA from 1 species